UCCGGGCGUGGUGGCACGCGCCUGUAAUCCCAGCUACUCGGGAGGAUGAGGCAGGAGAAUCACUUCAACCCAGGAGGCGGAGGUUGCAGUGAGCUGAGAUUCUGCCACUGCACCUCAGCCUGGGCAACAGAGUGAGAUUCUGUCUCAA
rnacentral:SRP_RNA from 1 species